GUCCUAGUUGUAAUUUGUAGAGAGUGCUUCGGGUGCUACCACGGUCUAAGUCUAUUGUAACAUGACGUCAUAGAGGGUGAGAAUCCCGUAUGCGAUCGUGGCUCGAGCCCGUGUGAAGCCUCUUCGACGAAUCCAGUUGUUUGGGAAUGCAGCUCAAAAUGGGUGGUAAAUUUCAUCUAAAGCUAAAUACUGGCUGGAGACCGAUAGCGCACAAGUAGAGUGAUCGAAAGAUGAAAAGCACUUUGGAAAGAGAGUCAAACAGUACGUGAAAUUGUUGAAAGGGAAGCGCUUGCAACCAGACCUGCCCGUAGGCGAUCAGCCGCUGUUCUCGGCGGUGCACUCGUUCUGCGAUCAGGCCAGCAUCGGUUUUGGCGGUCGGAUAAAGGCCUUGGAAAUGUGGCUUCCUUUCGGGGGAGUGUUAUAGCACCCGGCGCCAUGCGGUCAGGCGAGACCGAGGACCGCGCUUCGGCGAGGAUGCUG
rnacentral:rRNA from 1 species